AAUCGCAGAGAUGUGGAAGGUGCCCGAAAGGGAACCUGAACACAGGUGCUGCAUGGCUGUCGCCAACUCGUGUCGUGAGAUGUUGGGUUAAGUCCCGCAACGAGCGCAACCCUUGCCAUUAGUUGCUACAUUCAGUUGGGCACUCUAAUGGGACUGCCGGUGACAAACCGGAGGAAGGUGGGGAUGACGUCAAGUCCUCAUGGCCCUUAUGGGUAGGGCUUCACACGUAAUACAAUGGCGCAUACAGAGGGCUGCAAACCCGCGAGGGGGAGCCAAUCCCAAAAAGUGCGUCGUAGUCCGGAUUGUUCUCUGCAACUCGAGAGCAUGAAGUCGGAAUCGCUAGUAAU
rnacentral:rRNA from 1 species